AGGACGAACGCUGGCGGCGUGCUUAACACAUGCAAGUCACGGGGGCUCGCAAGAGCAACCGGCGAACGGGUGCGUAACACGUGAGCAACCUGCCGAUCUGAGGGGGAUAGCCGGCCCAACGGCCGGGUAAUACCGCAUACGGUUUUUGAGGGACAUCCCUUAGGAACGAAACCUCCGGGGCAGAUCGAGGGGCUCGCGGCCUAUCAGCUAGUUGGCGGGGUAACGGCCCACCAAGGCGACGACGGGUAGCUGGUCUGAGAGGAUGGCCAGCCACAUUGGGACUGAGAGACGGCCCAGACUCCUACGGGAGGCAGCAGUGGGGAAUCUUGCGCAAUGGCCGAAAGGCUGACGCAGCGACGCCGCGUGUGGGAUGAAGCAUUUCGGUGUGUAACCACUGUUGCCCGGGACGAACAGCUCUUUUCGAGGAGCCUGACGGUACCGGGUGAGGAAGCACCGGCUAACUCCGCGCCAGCAGCCGCGGUAA
rnacentral:rRNA from 1 species